GGCGACUACGAGCUCGAGGAGGACUCUCUGCAGAAGCUCGUCAACUGCGAGAAUCGCUGCCGCGAACUCCAAGAUCAGAUCUCGUCUCUCGAGCGUGAGGUUCUCUCGUUGGAGGAUCGCCUGGAGAAGCGCCGGUACGGGGCGAGACUGAGCGACGUGGCGUUGGACAAGUGCAUUAGCGCAUGGAACGAUCUGGAGAUGGAGAAAAAAUUCUGGGUUGAUACGUAUGGGAAGUCACCGAGAACUUGGUACAAAGUCGACGAUGAUAUCGAUGCGUUGCGGGCUGAGGUUGGAUCCUUAAAAGAUAGCAGGCAAGCGCUGUGGACCAAUGUGCGACAAAUUCAAGAAGAGGUCAAGAAAUGCAAUGAAGAGAAUCGACGAUUGCUGAAACAGUUGAGCAAGAGGAGAGAUGGCAAAGGAUCAGAGGCCGAACACAACAGCAGUGCUGAUAAAGUGAGCGA